rnacentral:ncRNA from 1 species
ACGGAAGCCUGGUGAGGCCAAGGUCGAUCCGGAAGAGAAGGUUCGAUCUCCCGAUCUGGGCACCCAGCACGGUUCCCGGCACCCACGCGGAGUCAUAGCCACGAUAACGGCAGAAGUGUUGCGGGCCUGCGUAAUUGCGAAGAGCGGACGGUAUCGACGGCCCUUUGGGUGGGGUUGCAGCCGGAAAGCGUCGCAAGAUCGCCGAGGCCACCCACGCAGCCCCAGAAAUGCACGCUUGGUAACCGAGAACCGUGUUGGCGGGCGGCGAUUCGAGUCCCUCGGGUCGCCGCCUGCUUUGUAUU